rnacentral:rRNA from 1 species
AUUGAACGCUGGCGGCAGGCCUAACACAUGCAAGUCGAACGAGUGGCGGACGGGUGAGUAAUGUCUGGGAAACUGCCUGAUGGAGGGGGAUAACUACUGGAAACGGUAGCUAAUACCGCAUACCCUCAGAUGUGCCCCGAUGGGAUUAGCUAGUUUGUGGGGUAAAGGAUCACAAAGGCGACGAUCCCUAGCUGGUCUGAGAGGAUGACCAGGCACACUGGAACUGAGACACGGUCCAGACUCCGACGGGAGGCAGCAGUGGGGAAUAUUGCACAAUGGGCGAAAGUCUGAUGCAGCCAUGCCGCGUGUAUGAAGAAGGCCUUCGGGUUGUAAAGUACUUUCAGCGGGGAGGCGUUACCCACAGAAGAAGCAACGGCUAACUCCGUGCCAGCAGCCGCGGUAAUAC